AUUGACCGCUGGCGGCAGCCCGAACCCAUGCAAGUCGAACGGGUGGCGGACGGGUGAGUAUUGUCUGGGAAACUGCCCGAUGGUGGGGGUUACUUACUGGAAACGGUAGUUAUACCCCCUUACCAUCGGAUGUGCCCAGAUGGGUUUGGCUAGUGGGGGGGGUAACGGCUCACCAAGGCGACGAUCCCUAGCUGGUCUGAGAGGAUGACCAGCCACACUGGAACUGAGACACGGUCCAGACUCCUACGGGAGGCAGCAGUGGGGAAUAGUGCACAAUGGGCGAAAGCCUGAUGCAGCCAUGCCGCGUGUAGGAAGAAGGCCUUCGGGUUGUAAAGUACUUUCAGCGAGGAGGCGUUACUCGCAGAAGAAGCACCGGCUAACUCAGUGCCAGCAGCCGCGGUAAUAC
rnacentral:rRNA from 1 species